rnacentral:rRNA from 1 species
UACGGGGGGAGCAAGCGUUGUUCGGAUUUACUGGGCGUAAAGGGCGCGUAGGCGGCCACCGCAAGUCGGUUGUGAAAGCUCUGGGCUUAACCCAGAAAGGUCAGCUGAUACUGCGGGGCUAGAGUGCAGAAGGGGCAACUGGAAUUCUCGGUGUAGCGGUGAAACGCGUAGAGAUCGGGAGGAAGGCCGGUGGCGAAGGCGGCGCUCUGGAACAUUUCUGACGCUGAGGCUCGAAAGCGUGGGGAGCAAACAGG